GUACGGAGAAUUCCCCAUUUACUCGCCGCAACAAAGAUGCAUCAGAUAGGCGGGUAAAAAGUUUUCCCUGGUGUUGGCGCAGUAUUCGCGCACCCCAACCUCGGU
rnacentral:sRNA from 2 species